UACGUAGGGGCGUAGCGUUGUCCGGAAUCAUUGGGCGUAAAGAGCGUGUAGGCGGCUCGGUAAGUCCGCUGUGAAAGUCCAGGGCUCAACCCUGGAAUGCCAGUGGAAACUGUCGAGCUAGAGUCCGGAAGAGGCGAGUGGAAUUCCUGGUGUAGCGGUGAAAUGCGCAGAUAUCAGGGAGGAACACCAAUGGCGAAGGCAGCUCGCUGGGACGGUACUGACGCUGAGACGCGAAAGCGUGGGGAGCAAACAGG
rnacentral:rRNA from 1 species